UUAAAUGUGGCCAGAUCAUCUUUCUAAAUAAUUCCCCGUAACAAACUUCUGGAUUAGAGGGCACGAUUUUUUUGGGGGAGGAGAAUCUUUCCUGGGGAUGUUUUUUUUUCUUUUUCUUUCUCUUCCUAUAUAACACAUGCACACACAAAAGUCACACACAAGGAAAAGUGGAUAACGGAAAUAGGGAGAGAGGACCUGAAGAAAAGGAGAGCAGGAAAAAAGACGAGCUCACUCCUCUUCUUCCUCAUUAGUUCAUCACCAUCUUUGCACCACAAAACAAAAAAAAAAUCCAAAACUUCCUUCUUCUUCCAUGAAACUCCAGCCAUGAAAUCCCAACUCAAAACCAUCAAAAACACCACCAUUUACAGUUGAAAAGUGCAGAAAAAACAGGCAAAAACAGAGCAAAAAUGGAGAACAAAAAAUCUCCAAAAAACCAGCCUGAAAAUCACGCGCGCACACAGAUAUCCAUCGGCUCUGCUCCUUCUUCUUCUGCCUGAAACUCGCCGGAGAAACGAGCUCCAGCAGCUCGCCAGAUUAACGAGCUCCAGCCGCGACAAACAGAACCAAACAGCCCGCACCAGACCUCUAUAGCCAACACUCUGCACCCCUCUAAAAUCGGCAGCCUCACGCACGUUCAGCCCAAAAUCGAGUGAACGUUAGCUUCGAGCUUGAGUGUCGAGUUUCUCGGUAUCGUUUCGAGCUUCCGUCUAGCAUCCGUGGUUCAUGCUUCAGCUGUCCCGUUUGCUGUAACAAUUUUUGCAUCUGAACAUAAGACUGUAAAGUGUGGAAAUACGUAAUACUGGAGGUCCGUUUCUUUCCUCCUCUUUGAUUAUCUGUGAGGUGGUUUUAAGCAUGACAUCGAUUUUAGUUUAAAUUGAAUGUUUUAUAUUAUGCUUGAGCUUGAAGGUCUAAGGAGAGCAUUUCUAUAGUUUAAAUUUUAAAUUAUUUUGAGGUCAAUUGUCAUAUGAAUCCGUGCUUAAAUAUUUUGUAAUGUCCGUAGUGUUAAUGCUCAAUUACAGUGAUUAGUUUCUCUUAUUCAAUGUUCCUAUAUGUUUGGACGUUAUGAUUAUUUUGGGUGAUUAUGGUAUUAUAAAUAGAGGGGUCUUACCCAUUGUAAAUCAUCCCAAAAUUCAAUAAGAAUUUUCUCUCUUUCCUUCUCUGCAAUAUUGAUCUUGUUCUUUUAUUGUUUCAUAACACGUUAUCAGCACGAGACUCUAACCAAUUGAGUAAAAACUUUGGGAUUGAGCAUAAUGAUUGUCAAUUGUUAUGUGAACUUCCUUCAUGAUUAAAUUCUGGAUUUAAGAUAAGUAUUUUACUUUUUUUUUUCUCUUUUAAGUUCUUGAAAUUCUAUAAUUUGACUUUAUAUACAAGCAAAGACAACAAAGUUUGGUUAUAACUCUAAUGGAG
rnacentral:lncRNA from 1 species